AAAAAAAAAAAAAAAAAAAAACUCAUAUCAUUCAGAUGUACUUUUUUAAAAAAGUAGACACUAUGCUUUCUUAUUCCUAAUAAUUUCAGUAAUUAAGACUAAUCAUUGGCAAGUAACACUCAUGUAAGAAAAAAAGUAAGGAUUGUUAUCCACAUCCAUUCAAAUUUUAGAAAAAUGAACAUUUUAAGCUUCGGGCAAGAGUAAUAUCAUUUUUUUCUUUAAUUUUAGCACUUAGCAGUGAUUUUAUUAGCUUCUACAUAUGAUCUGUGUCAUAGAGCCUGAAAGAAGUUACAGUAAACAAUAACCACCAUUUUCACUAAAUCAUAAACAGUAGAGACCAUAACUUAAUUUCAGUGGAGAAAUUCUGUUAAAAAGUGAUUUCUAUAAUGUCAGUUUCAGUUAUUUUUAAAUUCAUAAAUUUGUUUCUUCUCUUUCCUGUUAACUAGUCUCUAAUGAAAAACAAUUACAGAAAAUAAAGCUGCAUUAGAAUUGAAAUGAAAUCCAGUUUAACAUCAGAAGCUUUCUGGCCUUUUGGCUUAAAGGAUAAGUCAUUUAAGCCAUGGUGGUUUGGCCAUUGUUGAAGUCUAGGACACAGCCUGUUCCAACCUCAUCAUGAUACCACCACCAGUGGGUGCCAGUUUCCCUGGUUUCACUUAAAAACAUGAUCCUUUCCAGUGAAAAUUCCAGAAUCAUGCAUUUCUUUACCUAAUAUGUGGUAGUGUUGUAUACUUACCAGCAGAGGGCAGCUUAGUCUUCAGAAAAGAAAUGAACUUGAAAGUUUCAACCCUCUGACAUGUGGGUUCAGCUUAUUUUUUUCUUUGUUCAGUAUGGAGACUCUCUUACUUCUGCUUUUUUUCUUUUCUCUUCUAAUUUUUCGCUUCAGAAUUCUGGUUUCUCAAUGCAUAAACUGAAGUAAUUUCUUCCAUUCUACUUUUCUCUGCCCCAGGCUUGAGAUAGAACUAGGGAGCCCAGUGAGGCCUUUUCUUUCCUAAAUUAACAGUUAGGCAUCUGUGCAUAAAUGCUACCUUUGAACUAUGUGAUUUAAGAUAAUGUGCAGAAUGUACUUCUCUGGUCUUUCAGGUUGCUUGCAUAACUAUGUACUUGGUUGAACUUGUAAUUCUUGCUGACAACAGUCCUGCUGUUUUCCAGUAAGGUUCGUGAUCCUCGGGCCAAUUUUGAUCAGUCCCUACGUGUACUGAAACAUGCCAAGAAGGUUCAGCCUGAUGUUAUUUCUAAAACAUCUAUAAUGUUGGGUUUAGGCGAGAAUGAUGAGCAAGUAUAUGCAACAAUGAAAGCACUUCGUGAGGCAGAUGUAGACUGCUUGACUUUAGGACAAUAUAUGCAGCCAACAAGGCGUCACCUUAAGGUUGAAGAAUAUAUUACUCCUGAAAAAUUCAAAUACUGGGAAAAAGUAGGAAAUGAACUUGGAUUUCAUUAUACUGCAAGUGGCCCUUUGGUGCGUUCUUCAUAUAAAGCAGGUGAAUUUUUCCUGAAAAAUCUAGUGGCUAAAAGAAAAACAAAAGACCUCUAAAACUUCAACAAGACCUUCAAGAUCACAGAAAUUUUUAAAAUUUGAUUCCAGUUAAUAACAGAGGUGGUGCCAGAAUGCCUGGACUGCAGUGGAUGUACCCCACCUCUUUGCUUAAAAAAAAAAAAGUCAAUAGCCAGGCAUAGUGGCUCACGCCUGUAAUCCCAGCACUUUAGGAGGCCAAGGCGGGUGGAUCACCUGAGGUCAGGAGUUCGAGACCAGCCUGGCCAACAUGGUGAAAUCCUGUCUCCACUAAAAACACAAAAAUUAGUCAGGUGUGGUAGUGGGCGCCUGUAAUCCCAGCUACUCGGGAGGCUAAGGCAGGAGAAUCACUUGAACCUGGGAGGGGGAGGUUGCAGUGAGCCAAGAUCGCUCCAUUGCCCUCCAGCCUGGGUGACAAGAGCAAAACUCCAUCUCAAAUAAAUAAAAAGGAAAAAAAAGUCAAUAAACUGUACAAAUUUAAUUACAGUAAUUCAUUUGGCUUUUAGUGUAUCUUGUUUGUCCCA
rnacentral:sRNA from 1 species